rnacentral:RNase_P_RNA from 1 species
GAGCAGACCGCCGCGCCAGUCGCGGUAAGGGUGAAAGGGUGAGGUAAGAGCUCACCGGCCGGGCGGGCGACCGUCCGGGCCAGGCAAGCCCCGUCCGGAGCAAAACCAAAUAGGGCGGCAAUAAGGCGGCCCGUCUUGCCGCCGGGUAGGUUGCUGGAGCCGUGGAGCGAUUCACGGCCUAGAUGAAUGGUCAUCACCCCUUAGGGGGAACAGAACCCGGCUUACAGGCCCCCCGCCCCG